rnacentral:rRNA from 1 species
GACGAACGCUGGCGGCGCGCCUAAUACAUGCAAGUCGAACGCACUCUCGUUUAGAUUGAAGGAGCUUGCUCCUGAUUGAUAAACAUUUGAGUGAGUGGCGGACGGUGAGUAACACGUGGGUAACCUGCCCUAAAGUGGGGGAGUAACAUUUGGAAACAGAUGCUAAUACCGCAUAAAACCUAAACACCGCAUGGUGUAGGGUUGAAAGAUGGUUUCGGCUAUCACUUUAGGAUGGACCCGCGGUGCAUUAGUUAGUUGGUGAGGUAAAGGCUCACCAAGACCGUGAUGCAUAGCCGACCUGAGAGGGUAAUCGGCCACACUGGGACUGAGACACGGCCCAGACUCCUACGGGAGGCAGCAGUAGGGAAUCUUCCACAAU